rfam:Bacillus sp. FJAT-27916 Scaffold1, whole genome shotgun sequence.
UUUUCUAAAUCGCUGAGACCGUAUGGUGCGGGGGACCCAAAUGUUUCUUGGGGUGAAUCCUUAUUAAAAGGUAGGGCUACUCAUGGCCCGAAUCCGUCAGCUAACCUCGUAAGCGUUAUUUGAGAAGGAAG